UACGAAGGGUGCAAGAGUUACUCGGAAUUACUGGGCGUAAAGCGUGCGUUGGUGGUUUGUUAAGUCUGUUGUGAAAGCCCCGGGCUCAACCUGGGAAUGGCAAUGGAUACUGGCAAGCUAGAGUGCGGUAGAGGGUAGUGGAAUUCCCGGUGUAGCGGUGAAAUGCGUAGAGAUCGGGAGGAACACCAGUGGCGAAGGCGGCUACCUGGACCAGCACUGACACUGAGGCACGAAAGCGUGGGGAGCAAACAGG
rnacentral:rRNA from 1 species